AACGAACGCUGGCGGCAUGCCUAACACAUGCAAGUCGAACGAGACCUUCGGGUCUAGUGGCGCACGGGUGCGUAACGCGUGGGAACUUGCCCUUAGGUUCGGAAUAACUCCCCGAAAGGGGUGCUAAUACCGGAUAAUGUCUUCGGACCAAAGAUUUAUCGCCUUUGGAUGGGCCCGCGUUGGAUUAGCUAGUUGGUAGGGUAAAAGCCUACCAAGGCGACGAUCCAUAGCUGGUCUGAGAGGAUGAGCAGCCACACUGGGACUGAGACACGGCCCAGACUCCUACGCGAGGCAGCAGUGGGGAAUAUUGGACAAUGGGCGAAAGCCUGAUCCAGCAAUGCCGCGUGAGUGAUGAAGGCCUUAGGGUUGUAAAGCUCUUUUACCCGGGAUGAUAAUGACAGUACCGGGAGAAUAAGCUCCGGCUAACUCCGUG
rnacentral:rRNA from 1 species